UACCGCGGUUAUACGAGGGGCCUAAGUUGAUAGACACCGGCGUAAAGCGUGGUUAAGAUUGAAAAUAAUACUAAAGCCGAACGCCUUCAAGGCUGUUAUACGCACCCGAAGGUAAGAAGCCCAAUUACGAAAGUAGCUUUACUCCCCUGACCCCACGAAAGCCAAGGCA
rnacentral:rRNA from 1 species